rnacentral:tRNA from 1 species
ACCUGGGUGGCUCAGUUGGUUGAGCAUCCGACUCUUGAUCUCGGCUCAGGUCAUGAUCCCACAAUUCGUGGGUUCGAGCCCCACACCAGGUG